GGGUUUUCUGUCUUAAAAAUAUUAAAAUACUCUAGAAACAGGGGCAACUCGCCUCAUUUGGAUAGUACAAAGUACUGAAACCAAUGGGAAAAGACCAGUUGUCCCAAUUCUGUUUAGAAUAUGCUGUUCAUGGCUGAAGAAUGAUUCCAUCAGCAUAAUGCCUUAUAUACCUCUAUAUAUAGUACCUUCCAUACAGAAUUUCACACGGACUCAACACCAUUCUCUGCAGAAAAAAUUUCUUUCUUCUCUGAAUUUCAGACUUAAGGAAAUCUUAGAAAAACUUCAAAAAAAGAAAAAAAAAAAAUCUCCUGCUGUUAACAAGCUGAAAAUGAGUUGAAAAGAAGAAUAUUUUUAUGUUUUUGUUGGGACUUUUGACUUUUCAAGUGGCAUUCUGGUUUUGAAAUUUUGGGGUUUCUUUAGUUUUGCUAAAGCUGUUUGGUCAUUGCUGCUGCUUUCUGCUCCUGAACCUUUUCCAACAGUCUUACCCUCAUUGCAGUUGUUAUAUCAUUGCUCUGUCAAGGUUGGGAGUCUAAGAACAACUUGUGAAAAGCAGCUCAGUAGCUGACCUCUUGCAGAUCUCAUGCUUUGGUCUUGAAGAAAUUGAUGGAAGGAAUUUCAAACCAGAAGAAGCUUUCAAUUUUUUGUACUUCUUUACUUUUCUUUUAGAAUUUCCUUUAGAUAAUAGCUGUUAGGAUACUGAUUAAAGGCUUCAAUGUAUAAAUUAUGGGACUUUCAAUGCUGUAAAUGGACUGUUAAUUUUAACUUAAGCUCGAUUAUCAGUAGGCUUACAGUAGUAAAUUUUCUUUGUUUGGUGCAAUGAAUAUGUUUGGGAGAUGUAUGUGAAUUUCGAACUAGGUUGCAAUUGCAAGCAGACUCAAGUAUUGGGCUCAUUCAAGCAAGUCUGACCUGGGCCAUUGGGCCUAGGCAGUUGGAUUCCAGCUUCAACCUAGUAUCAGUUGUAUACAUAUCUCAUGUGUCUUGCAAUUUAAUAUGAUAGAAUUAAUUUUCGAACCAGUCU